UCAUAGGACCACGAGGCCCAUGACCAGAGCAUUGGUGGGUCACGCCAAGGGCCCCGUGGGCCUGCAGACGCUGCUGGAUCUGCUGGUGGGAGUUUAUCAGGAGUUCAGCUCGGCCGCUCUGGUCAGAGAGAAACACGUGCAGCGCUUCCUGCAGUGGGCGGAGCCUCUGGUCAGACAGGUGAAGAAGACUCGGAUAAGCAGGGAUGACUUUGACAUCUUGAAGGUGAUCGGCCGAGGAACCUUCAGCGAGGUGGCUCUGGCCCGCAUGCGUAACACACAGCAGGUUUACGCGCUGAAGAUCAUGAACAAGUGGAACAUACUGAAGCGUGGAGAGACGACGUGUUAUCAGGAGGAGCAGGAGGUUCUGCUGAAAGGAGACCGGCGCUGGAUCACUGAGCUGCAUUACGCUUUCCAGGACGACAAUCACCUCUAUCUGGUCAUGGAUUACUAUGUCGGUGGAGAUCUGCUGACGUUGCUGAGUAAGUUUGGUGAUCGUAUCCCGGAGGACAUGGCUCAGUUCUACCUGGCUGAGAUGGUGAUGGCCAUCGAUUCAGUCCACAGACUCGGUUAUGUGCACAGAGACAUUAAGCCUGACAACAUUCUCCUGAGGGCGGAUGGUCAUGUGCGAUUGGGUGAUUUUGGCUCCUGUCUGCGUCUGGAGGAUGACGGACUGAUCCACUCGUCGCUGGCCGUCGGGACUCCAGACUAUCUGUCUCCAGAGAUCCUGCGGGCGGUGGAGGGCGGCGGAGGCUACGGCUCUGAGUGUGAUUGGUGGGCUCUGGGUGUCUGCGCGUACGAGAUGCUGCUGGGAACCACACCCUUCUACGCCGAGUCCAUCUCUGAGACCUACGCCAAAAUAAUACACUUCAAGGAUUAUUUUGAGUUUCCUCCGGGGUCGGAUGUGUCCGAGGAGGCGCGGUCACUCAUCAGCGCUCUGAUCUGUGACCGGAGCGAGAGGUUGGGUUCACGGGGCUCCGUGGACUUCAGAAAACACCCGUUCUUCACAGGUUUGGACUGGAGUUCCCUUCAUCUCCUCCCUCCUCCGUACCGUCCUGAUGUCUCCGACGCCACAGACACCUCCAACUUCGACGUGCUGGACGACUGUCUGAGCCACACGGAAAGCCUGAGUGAGGUGAUGGAGCGAGCGCCUGUCGGGCUUCAUCUGGCGUUUGUAGGCUACUCUUACACAGCCACCAGAGAGACGGGAGCACUGGACCGCAGCAGAGACAUCAUGAUGGAGAUCAACCAGCAGCAGGAUAGAGACCUGCUCCACCUGCAGGGAACACUGAAUCAGGUGUGGCGGCUCAGAGAAUCCAUCACCGCUGAGCUGAUGUCACUUCCUGCUGAGCAGAACAAACCCCAGCCAAUCAGCAGCAGCGCAGAGACGGAGCAGAGCGACGUACACACUUACGAGCUGCAGAGGCGUCUGCACAAAGCCGAGUGCAGGAACAGAGAGCUUGAGCAGGAGAUGGCUGGACUGAGAGACGAGAUCCUCAGACUGACCGCCGGCAGAGACCAAGUCACAGAGCUGUGUGUGUGUCGGCCGCUGCGCUGUCUGGACUCCGUGUGUGACCUGAUUGACAAACCUGAUGUUUGUAGAGCUCAGUGACGCCCCCUGCCUGUCAUUACCCGCUAGUGACGCCGCUGCACCGCCACCUGCUGCUCUUCAACAGGGUGUGGAUGCCGCAGGUGAGGAGUGAGUCGUAUCUGCUGGUUUGUGCCGAGGGGUCUGAGCUGCUGCUGUGGGAGCGACACUGCAGUGCUGAUCUUUGCUGAAGAACACUAGAUAGUCAACAGCAGACGCUUCAGUGAAUCUGCGUGGACUGUGAUCUACUCUAUUGUGCAGGAGUCUGAUCUCUUCUUCUCUGUUCUUCAGUUACAGUCUAUAAAGCCUUUUCAGCAUAGUGUCCACAUGACUGAGUAAAUGAUUUAAAGUUUCCUGCUUUAAAGCAGCGUCUCGCCAGAAAAUCUCGCAGCCAUGACUCUGAUUCACUCGUCACGUUUAUAAACAUUUCAGCUCCAUCUUCUGAUUGCACUCAUAUUCUGAAUAUGAUGUUUAUAUUCACAAGUAUGGUUGUUUUAGGUCUACUGAUCUACAGAUUUUAUUUCUCGCUGUUUCUCAAAAGAUUUCCCAAGAGAGUCCAGAUGCUGCCAUUGGUUAUGCAGUAUGUGCUCAGUUAUUUAAUUAGAAUUUAAUCUAAUUAUCUAAUUAGUUUUCUAAUUAGUAAUUUAAUUAGAAACCCUUCAAAAUUCCCCAAAACUCGAACUCCAACUGGAAAGAACUGGGCAAAUGUUAAUAAUAAUAAUAAGUGUUAAUAUAAAUUUUCAGAAAUUAGUUUACAUUACUUAACACCUACACUAAUUAUUAUCACCCUCUGUUAUCACCCAUAAUUCUCUGCGGUCUGAGCAUGUGAAUCUCCUUUCAGUGGAUUUUAUGACUAAGGUGUUUACAUGCAACAAGUGUCUUGUUAAAUCCACCUUAUUCCAGGAGUGGGAAUCAGAAUUUGGAAAAAAAAA